CCUACGGGCGGCAGCAGUAGGGAAUAUUGCUCAAUGGGGGAAACCCUGAAGCAGCAACGCCGCGUGGAGGAUGAAGGUUUUCGGAUUGUAAACUCCUUUUGUUAGAGAAUAUAAUGACGGUAUCUAACGAAUAAGCACCGGCUAACUCCGUGCCAGCAGCCGCGGUAAUACGGAGGGUGCAAGCGUUACUCGGAAUCACUGGGCGGAAAGAGCGCGUAGGCGGGAUAGCAAGUCAGAUGUGAAAUCCUAUGGCUUAACCAUAGAACUGCAUUUGAAACUGUUAUUCUAGAGUAUGGGAGAGGUAGGUGGAAUUCUUGGUGUAGGGGUAAAAUCCGUAGAGAUCAAGAGGAAUACUCAUUGCGAAGGCGACCUGCUAGAACAUAACUGACGCUGAUGCGCGAAAGCGUGGGGAGCAAACAGGAUUAGAUACCCCAGUAGUC
rnacentral:rRNA from 1 species